rnacentral:rRNA from 1 species
AACGUAGGACGCAAGCGUUAUCCGGAGUUACUGGGCGUAAAGCGCGGGCAGGCGGUCUUGCCAGUCUGAUGGGAAAUCUCUCAGCUCAACUGGGAGCAGCCAUUGGAAACUACAAGACUGGAGUCUGGCAGAGGUAGGCGGAAUUCCGGGUGGAGUGGUGAAAUGCGUAGAGAUCCGGAGGAACACCAGAGGCGAAGGCGGCCUACUGGGCCAGUACUGACGCUGAGCCGCGAAAGCCAGGGGAGCGAACGGG